UACGUAGGGUGCGAGCGUUGUCCGGAUUUAUUGGGCGUAAAGAGCUCGUAGGCGGUUUGUCGCGUCGGCCGUGAAAUCUCCACGCUUAACGUGGAGCGUGCGGUCGAUACGGGCAGACUUGAGUUCGGUAGGGGAGACUGGAAUUCCUGGUGUAGCGGUGAAAUGCGCAGAUAUCAGGAGGAACACCGAUGGCGAAGGCAGGUCACUGGGCCGCAACUGACGCUGAGGAGCGAAAGCGUGGGGAGCGAACAGG
rnacentral:rRNA from 1 species